UACGUAGGGCGCAAGCGUUGUCCGGAAUUAUUGGGCGUAAAGAGCUCGUAGGCGGUUUGUCGCGUUUGCUGUGAAAACCUAAGGCUCAACCUUGGGCUUGCAGUGGGUACGGGCAGACUAGAGUGCGGUAGGGGUGACUGGAAUUCCUGGUGUAGCGGUGGAAUGCGCAGAUAUCAGGAGGAACACCGAUGGCGAAGGCAGGUCACUGGGCCGCAACUGACGCUGAGGAGCGAAAGCAUGGGGAGCGAACAGG
rnacentral:rRNA from 1 species